UACAGAGGUGGCAAGCGUUGUUCGGAAUUACUGGGCGUAAAGGGCGCGUAGGCGGCCUUCUUAGUCGGACGUGAAAUCCCCAGGCUUAACUUGGGAACUGCGUCCGAUACUGGGAGGCUUGAGUGCGGGAGAGGGAUGUGGAAUUCCAGGUGUAGCGGUGAAAUGCGUAGAUAUCUGGAGGAACACCGGUGGCGAAGGCGGCAUCCUGGACCGACACUGACGCUGAGGCGCGAAAGCUAGGUGAGCAAACGGG
rnacentral:rRNA from 1 species